AGACAGCAGCAGCCGCGGGAACACAGAGGGUGCGAGCGUUAAUCGGAUUUACUGGCGUAAAGCGUGCGUAGGCGGCUUCUUAAGUCGGAUGUGAAAUCCCUGAGCUUAACUUAGGAAUUGCAUUCGAUACUGGGAAGCUAGAGUAUGGGAGAGGAUGGUAGAAUUCCAGGUGUAGCGGUGAAAUGCGUAGAGAUCUGGAGGAAUACCGAUGGCGAAGGCAGCCAUCUGGCCUAAUACUGACGCUGAGGUACGAAAGCAUGGGGAGCAAACAGGAUUAGAUACCCCGGUAGUCCCUGUCUCUUAUACA
rnacentral:rRNA from 1 species